rnacentral:rRNA from 1 species
GGCAAAAGCUCAAAUUUGAAAUCUAGCACCUUCGGUGUUCGAGUUGUAAUUUGAAGAUGGUAACCUUGGGUUUGGCUCUUGUCUAUGUUCCUUGGAACAGGACGUCAUAGAGGGUGAGAAUCCCGUCUGAUGAGAUGCCCAUUCCUUUGUAAGGUACUAUCGAAGAGUCGAGUUGUUUGGGAAUGCAGCUCUAAGUGGGUGGUAAAUUCCAUCUAAAGCUAAAUAUUGGCGAGAGACCGAUAGCGAACAAGUACAGUGAUGGAAAGAUGAAAAGAACUUUGAAAAGAGAGUGAAAAAGUACGUGAAAUUGUUGAAAGGGAAGGGCAUUAGAUCAGACUUGGUGUUUUACGAUUAUCUUCUCUUCUUGAGUUGUGCACUCGUAUUUCACUGGGCCAGCAUCGAUUCGGAUGGUAAGAUAAUAGCAGUUAAAUGUGGCUCUUCGGAGUGUUAUAGUUUCUGUUGAUAUUGCCUGUCUGGAUCGAGGGCUGCGUCUUUUGACUAGGAUGCUGGCGUAAUGAUCUAAUGCCGCCC